rnacentral:lncRNA from 1 species
UGAAUUCUGAUUUUGUUCUAACAGGUUUAUGUGAGAAUUGGGAGAAGUUAGGUUUUUGUUGAUUAAUGGGUUCUGAGUGUAGGAAUCGUUGAAUUGGGGUUAGAAAUGGGUUCUGAGUGCAUAAAACCUUUCAUUGCAUAUCUGUAAACUAAUUUGGGGAGUGAAUUGAGGAAAAAUGGGAUUUUUGGGAAAAACCUGCAUUCUGCCCGUACAGAAGUUCAUCGCUCGCCUCGCGAGUAGCCUAUGCUCGCCUUAGCGAGUGAACAACUUCAUCGCUCGCCUCGCGAGUGAUACAACUCGCCAUGGCGAGUAGCCUUGUGAAAAUCUGGAUUUUUAAAAUGUUGUUAUAAGCCGUAUCUUGGGUAGUUUCAUGUGCCUAGAGGAUUUUUAAGAGGACUAGAGCAAGUUUUAGGUUUAAAAGAUGAUUAGGGAGCUUAGAAUUGAGGUUUGAGUGAGAAAAAUAUCAUUUUUCCCGAGAGCACCAUAUUUCUGUUCGCCUCGAGUUCGCCUCGAACUCGCCAUGGCGAGUACCUGAUUUCCUGAGCUCGCCAUAGCGAGCAGAUGUGCUCGCGAGGCGAGCUGCCCAGUAUUUUGUUGGUUUGAUUUCUGUUGUUGUUUGGAUGGUUUAUAUUGUUGAAUUAAGCAUGGCUUGUAUGUUGAUAUAUAUUUCCCUGGAUGUCCUGGUUGGUUGUGAUGAAUAGAUGCUGACUGAAUGUAUGUUGUAUUUAAUUAAAAUUCACUUAAAUGUUGUAAAUUGGAUGGUGAAUCAUAUAUAUGUAUAUGUUAGAUUGGUUGGUAUGUAGAUAUACUCAAGGGGAUUAGUUGCAUAAACAUAACAGUGGGAGAGCUUCGGCUCUGGAACGCUCGGUCGUUCAAAGUGGUGGAGUACUAGUUACUCAAAGUGGUGUUAGUGGUGAGGACUUAUGUCCUGAUGAGAAUGCUUUAACCAUUCGACAGCGGUGUGGGUCACGGCCCUGAUUUUUGGUACCACAUGCAUGGGUGUUUAGAGGAGUCUUAGUGGAGUGGUGAUGGGUUGCAUAUGUUGUUGAGAGGGUUAUAAAUUAAUAUUGUUGAUGAUAUGUGAAAAUGAUGAUAUUUAUAUAAUAUUGUUGAUGAAUUAUCUGAUAGGGUGUUAGAUUCAAUUGAUGCAUUCUUUACCUAUAUUUUGUUGUGAAUCUCACCCCUUCUGCUUGAAAAUGUUGCCCUUCCUAUGGGUAACUUGCAGGUGAUCCUGAGUAGUUGGUGGUGGCUCAAAGUGUCUAGGACUCUGAUACGUGGGAUGGGAUUUAUAGUUUAAUUUCUACCUAUGUAUCAAUUUUUGGAACAAGUUAAUGUAGCCUUUGUUUAGUGUUGAACUAUUAUGUUGAGGCCUAGUGCCAAGAUUUAUUGUUGGAUAAUGGAGUUUAAUUUUGAAGAAUAUUCCGCUGCAAAUUAAUGAAGUUUUAUGAAAGAUGUUGUUAAAUAGUUUUAUCCUAUUUAAGAAAUUUUGUAUAGUGGUGUGACAUGCCGUUUGGUGUUGAACUCUGAUAUUAUAAUUAUAAUUAAAUUGAUUUUGGGAAACGGGG